AGGCGCGCAUGCUCAGGGAAGGGCUCUGCAAGGUGAUUGGACGCUGCUUCUGCGCUCGCAGCCCAAUGGCUGACAGUAGGUGGGGCCUGGAAGGCUGAAGUGGAUUCUGGUCACCACCGGAAGAGUGAUUCUUGUCACAGUCCCUUGGUCUCCCGCUCUCUGCUUCGGUGGCCAUGUAAAGAACAGCUCUCUCUUCCUGUCUCCUCUGCACACUCGCUCCGCCAGGUGCUCCGCCAUGUGCUUCACCUCUCCACAGCCCGGAGACAGUGGAGCUGCUGGACCCUGCACUGAAGCCUCCGAAACGUGCAUCCCGUGAAGAAACAGACUCCUAGAGAUUAACAUCCUACCUGAGGUCAUUUAUGAAGACUGGAUGCUCAGGGGGCUGCUAGACGGAGAAGGAAAGAAGGCAGAAACCAUCGGCAGCAGGGGCCUCUGCUUGUCCAUUGCAUAUUGGAUGACAGACUAUUAAUGGUGAUGCGAACUAGUAAACACAGAUGAACUUUGGAUCAAGUGUGAUAUGCAAAAUUCCAAGGACUGUUUGAUACAUUCUGCAAGUUGCCCCCCAAAGAACGUUACAGUGUGACACUCCUUCCUCUAGUGCCUUGAGGCAGAGUAUGCACACUGAAGGCGGACACAGUCCAGGGAGCCCUCCUGGCUUCCCCAGCAGUGAGCUUUGGAAUCUGCCGUUGAUUUCCUGUCUUCAAGAGGAAGUUCCGUCUCUUCUGUACCUGCUGACGGCUAACGGGCCCGGCGGCGAGCCCCGCCUGAGCACCCAGAAUUACACGUGAAGUCGGAGUGCAAUGCGACUCACGUCCUCCCUCCACAGAAAGAAGUUAGGGAGGCCAGCAGGUUCGAAUUCUCAAAGGAGACGGCUGCUCUGCAUGGCUCUUCCCCAGAAGCUCCUCUCUCUGAAUCUCAGUUGUUGGUAACUAGCAGGUUUUCUCUCCAGGAACCAAGAUAAUUUUUUCCUCGCUUCUGGCCCACCAACUCGUCAGCUGUCUCAGCUGAGGCGGCGCUGCCAGACUGAGUAACUGGAGAAUCUACUCGACUAUUUAUUUUAGAGUAUGAUAAUUUGAGGGAAAAUGAAAAUUGUCAGUUUUCCAUUACACCCUAAAGCUCUCAGACCCGGUUAUCUUAUCAGACCUAAAAAAGCACGCUACUACAGAAAGCGGUGUAAACAGGUGGGGAUACCAGGGAGGAGGGGAGAUGUCCGCUGCGGGCAAGCGCUGUGCUCAGGGCAGGGCGACCCCAGGCCUCCUUGUGCGGCCCUAGGAUGUGGUGACCUGUGGAUGUGGCCAGUCCCACGUGAACCCCGGGCAGAGGUCUGUGCUCCAGGGGCCAGAACUGCGAGUUUUAAAAGUCCUGUACUGGCCUGCUGCGAGAUGUGCCUCGGGGUGGAGAUCCUGGGGCUGGAGACCCCGGGCAAGCACAUGCUCAGUUCAUCUCUGCACACUCAGCCCCAAGCCGGUGCCUGGCGAUCACUAAGAUCCAGCCCAUGCUUAUUUUAACACAUUCUCAGAAAAGUCACACCCUUUAGAAAUCCUGCUAGGUAAUCUCUUUUCUCUGCUUGCAGUGUUCCAGGGUUUCUCGUUUCUUCCUGAACAGGUCAGGCAGAUGGGGCUUACUGUCUCCAUGGACAAGUGUCCCGCUCUCCCCGCUGUCCUCACACCCGGCCCUGCCAGCUCUGCCCUUCCCACGGGAGAUGGGCCACCGCUUGUUCCUCAUGCCUGGCUCCACACUUUCCAAAGUGAUCCUCCUGCCUCAGCCCCCUGAGUGCUGGGAUUACAGGUGUGCAGCACCACGUCCGGCUGAUGUCCCUUUUCAUUAAGUCACAUUUCCACCCCUUUAUAGCCCUGUUCCAUCCUUGGCCCUCACAUUACUCUUCUUAUCUUUUAUCCUGGACUUUCCCAACACUUGUUGCCUUCUAAUGUCUUACUCUGUGAUUUAACUGUUUCGUACUUGUUUGUUGUCUGUGUCCCCCUGGCUGGCACACAAACCUGCGAGGGUGAGGAUUUUUAUUGCUUUUGCUCAUUGAUAUUCCUAGUUUCAGCCAGUGUCUGACACAUAGAGGGUGCUCUGUGAAUAACUGUUGAAUGAACAAAUGAAUAGAGCCGGAUCUGUGAAGCAAGUGAGCAGAUAAAUCUGAGAGUAAAAGAGUAAAGCGAGGUGCAGAGGCGAAUGGAACAUCGGUUGUGAUAAGCUCGUGGAGGUGAACCUUGCUUUUCAUUCGCGGAAGCCCUUGCAGUUCGCGAUGAGCUCGGUCCACUUCCAGAGUCAAAGCUGCAGACUUCCAGCUUCUUUGGUGUCAAGCUUCCUCGAGUUAACAGUGUGUCGCUCGCUCCCUGAGGGAUUCAGGUGAAGGACGCAUGUGCGGAGUCUUUCAUCUGGGCCGGAGGCCCCUGCAUUAGGAGCGCUCCUGCGGAGCCCACCCGGGUUAUGGAGUGAGCGAUCGCUGAGGACUUGAUCCUCAGGUGAUUUGAAUGCAUGCUGAAGUUCGAGAAUUUCUAAUUUCUCAUUGCUGGGACACAAUACCCAACACCCACAACUUAAGGAGGAGGGGUUUAU